rnacentral:rRNA from 1 species
CGCGUAGGCGGUUUUGUCGGUCAGAUGUGAAAGCCCGGGGCUCAACCCUGGACGUGCAUUUAAAACAGCAAGACUUGAGUACGGGAGAGGAAAGCGGAAUUCCUGGUGUAGAGGUGAAAUUCGUAGAUAUCAGGAGGAACACCGAUGGCGAAGGCAGCUUUCUGGACCGAUACUGACGCUGAGGCGCGAAGGCGUGGGUAGCGAACA